rnacentral:lncRNA from 14 species
CAGGUUCCGCCCCUUUCUGCAGAACCAGGGGUGUGGCUGAUGUGACGUCACAUUACACCACGCCCACGACUUUAUAGGGCGUGGUCCUGGGCGUGGCCGGAAGUGACGUGGGCGGGGCGGGGCCGCCCGGAGAUGGUUUUGGGGAGGAUUUUUGGGGGGGAAUUUUUGGGGGGGAAAUUUUUUUGGGGGAUUAUUUUGGGGGGAUGGAGCCCUAGAGGAGGAUUUUUGUGGGGGGGGGUUUAGGAGGAUUUUUUGGGGGGAUUUUUAGAACGAUUUUGGGAGGAUUUUGGGGGGGGAUGGAGCUCUAGGGUGGGAUUUUUUGGGGGGGGGAUUUUUGGGGCUCAGCCCAGAGGGUCCCCACCCCCCUUCCCCCCCCCCCCCAGGGACCCCCCGGCAGCGGCUCCGGCCCCUCCGCCCCCUCCCCAUCCCCUGGAGACCCCUCCCCAAACCCCCCCCAUCCCCUAUAGGACCCGGCCUCCCCCCUCCCCCCAUAGAUCCGCAUUUCCCGGGGUCCCUUCCCCCAUAAGCCCCCUCCCCAUCCCCCCAUCCCCCUCCCCCCAUCCCCUAUAGGACUUCCCCCUAUAGCCCUGCCCCCCCCCCAGGACCCCCCCAAAUUCCCCCAGAACCCCCCUCAGGUAAAUCCCAGGUGAUCCUACAGGUGACCCCCAGGUGAGACCCCCCCCCCAAAACCCCCCCAGACCCCCUCAAAACCCCCCCAGGACCCCCCAGGACCCCCCCGCCCCCGGUGAUGGAGUUCCUGCGGCGCCGCCUCUCGGACGGGAAUUUCUUGGCGGGGGGGGGGAUGGGAGGAGACCCCCCCCCAGCUGGGGGAGGGGCGGGGAGACCCCCGCGGACCCCUCCCCCACGGCGCCGCUGCUGCUCGUGAUCGCCCCCCGGCACGGACUGGGUGAAACCCUUCAAGGGCAAAUCCGUGCACGGGGACGUGGAGCUGAGGGUGGAGCAGGCCCAGUUCUCGGAGCUCUCCUUGGCCGCCUCCACCCACGGCGCCCUCAGCGUCAGCAUCGACCCUGCCCGGGGCGGCGCCAGGAAGGUGCGCCCCGAUUUUGUGCUGGUGCGGGAGGAGCCCGAGGGCGGCGCGGGUGGCGCCCCCCGGCGGCUGCUGGUGGGAUUGCACCUGGGGGGGGUCCCGGGCAGCGACCCCAUCCCCGCCCUGUACGGCUUCAGCCACCAACCCUGCCUGUUUGCCCAGUUGGCUCGGCUGCAGCGGGAACUGGGCCAUGAGGCCUUUCCACUGGUGCCCCAGCGCUUCUGCAACCGGCCCCGGGGACUGGUGAGCACUGGGAGGGACUGGGAGGGACUGGGAAUGGUGUCACUGGUCUCUAACUGGUCUCUAACUGGUGUCACUGGUGUCCCCAGC